CGGAGCAUUUAGAAGUGAUAGUGAUUUCAUCCGUACGCCACUUCUCCUACGCAAGGUUUUAUAAAUGAGGCCCCUGGACCCUACACUGCCUGACAGCCGCACACUGGCUCAGAAGGAAAAGGAGAAGAGGAUGAUGUCAGAUGCUGUACACUACAACAGGCGUCACCGUGCAUAAAUGCACAGUGUCUUGUCACCAGGAGAACCUGUAUGGGUCACCGACGCUAAGACGUCUGGAACUGUCAUCCAGAACCACACCCCAGAGGCUUUAAUUUUGAAGAGCUGUGGUCUCCCCCUGUUCAUUCCUGAAGGGUGUGGCUGGAACAGCGGACGGCAUUCAGCCAUCAGGGGACUCUCAUAUCAUCCCGGGUCUUCCUGCCAUUCAGCGCCAGAUCGUUCCAACGUCAGAGUGGUAAACUACUUUUUCAGGCCAUCUGGCUGCUCGCUGUGGAUUAGACGCUGUCUUUGUUUCUGUUCUUUUUCUGUUUUUGCCCUAGUGCUUGAGGAUUCCUACCUGCCGGCUGGCAGGCUCUCAGAGUCCGGUCUCCCCCCCCCGACUCAACCGGUACCUGUGUGCCAAAUUGUGUGUGUACGAUCUGAAUAAACACCUUGUUUUCACGUCGGAAGAACCUUC